rnacentral:rRNA from 1 species
CCUACGGGAGGCAGCAGUGAGGAAUAUUGGUCAAUGGACGAGAGUCUGAACCAGCCAAGUAGCGUGAAGGAUGACUGCCCUAUGGGUUGUAAACUUCUUUUAUAUGGGAGUAAAAUGUUCCACGUGUGGGAUUUUGUAUGUACCAUAUGACUAAGGAUCGGCUAACUCCGUGCCAGCAGCCGCGGUAAUACGGAGGAUCCGAGCGUUAUCCGGAUUUAUUGGGUUUAAAGGGAGCGUAGGUGGAUUGUUAAGUCAGUUGUGAAAGUUUGCGGCUCAACCGUAAAAUUGCAGUUGAAACUGGCAGUCUUGAGUACAGUAGAGGUGGGCGGAAUGCGUGGUGUAGCGGUGAAAUGCUUAGAUAUCACGAAGAACUCCGAUGGCGAAGGCAGUUCACUGGACUGCAACUGACACUGAGGCUCGAAAGUGUGGGUAUCAAACAGGAUUAGAUACCCCUGUAGUC